CACCAACUCUCGGGGGGCGAUAAAUGAUCGCUGAGAUAAUCCACGUUUUUGGAUUGACCCGCUGAACCUGCACUGAUUCAUAUCUGCGAAGGGAAGAGAUUAUGUCAACAC
rnacentral:ncRNA from 2 species